GUCGCAACCAUGCGGCCGUCAAGCCCACCUUGCUCUGUCCUCAGUCCCAGGAAACAUCUCUGUGAAACCAUCUGGCACAGGGUGGCUGGUGCCUGGACGUUGAAGGUUUUGGGGGUAGAUACCCAGAAGAGCGAUUGCUGAGUCAUGUGGUAAGUCUAUUUUUCAUUUUUUGAAGACCCUCUACACAGUUGUCCAUAGUGGCUGCACCAAUUUCCAUUCCCACCAGCGGUGAGUGAGCGUUCCCUUCUCCACUGCCUCUCCAGCACCAAACCACUCGCCUUGUUGCUAAUGGCCUAACUGACCAGGGGCGAGGUGGCAGCUCAUUGUGGGUUUGAUUGGCAUCUCCCCAAGAGCUAGUGGGGUCGAGUGUCCUCUCGUGUCUCGGUUGGCCGUGUGUACGUCCCCUUGCGAGAGUGUCUGUGCAGGUCCUGUGCCCGUUUUCCUACCGGGUUGUUUUUUUGGUGUUGAGUGGUGUGAGUUCUCUGUGUAUUUUGACUAUGAGCCCCGUAUCAGGGCUCUGGCCGUCUGUGAACACCUCAUAGACACGGACAACGGUGUGGUGGUGACCAGAGGGAAGAGGUGUCGGGGGAAAGGGGGCCAACUACAUGAUGAUGGAAGAGGAUUUGGCUUUGGGUGGUAAACACGCAACGGAAUAUUCAGAUGUUGUGUCAUAGACUAGUACCCUCGAAACCUGUGUAAUUUUAUUAACCAGUGUCACCCAAUAAAUUUAAUGGGCACCAUAAGGUUUUACAACCUCAAAUGUUGACAAAGAUGUGCCAUAAUCAGACCUCACAGAGAACGUUGAAAGAAGAUCACAUGGGUCAACUACUUUGGGGGGAAUAAAAAUGGCAAUAUUUCUUUUGAAACACGAAAUAGUUCAAAUGUCAGUGCUGCUUUGGGUUUUUAAAAGGAUUUAUUAGCGGUAACAAUUGGAGAUAAAUGGAAAUAUAUCAUUAUUUCUGUCUAAGACUUGGAAUACCUAUGUCUAAGAGAAGAGUGGUCCCUACCUUUCCUGGAAAGUUAUAUUGAAGGUUGUGUGUUGCCUGGGACCUAGUGAUCAAUGCCGUAAGGAUAGAUGAACUCUUUUCUUGGCCAUUUUCUGUCCCUGAUUCUAUCAAGUAGCACUAGUUUUUGUAUUAAUUUAUUACAUGGUGUUUCCUUAUUUCCAUUAGAAAUCAAUAGGAGACAUGGCUCUUGAAAAUCCUUUAAUAUUUGAAUACUGAAAUUAGCACUUACAACUUAUUCAUUAGUCAAAGAAGAUAUGAAAAGAAAUUUCCAGGCUGGGUGGAAAUGGUGAAGGGAUUAAGCAAAAAACACACAGAAAAACUCAUAGACACAGGCAACAGUGUGGUGAUGACCAGAGGGAAAGCGUGGUUGGGCAAGUUAGAGGAGCGUAGAGGGGGAGAUCAGUGGUGAAGGAAGGAGACUUGACUUGGGUGGUGAACGCACAAGACAGUAUACAGAUGAUGUGAUAUAAAACUGUACACCUGAAACCUAUAUAAUAUUAUUAACCAAUGUUACCCCAAUAAAUUCAUUAAAAAAUUUAAAAAACCUGUUUUAAAUGUAGUAAUGAUCUAAUAAAAUUACUCUUUCUUUCCCCCCCAAAAAACUCCAAAAAAACACAGCAGUAUUUUGAACUGAAUCAAGAUGAAAACAUAGCAUAUUAAAAUUUAUGGGAUGCUGCUAAAGUUGUAUUUAGGGGCAAAAUCAUAGCACUGUCUAUCUUAGAAAGAAGACAGAUUUCAAACCAGUGACUUUACAGUUGACUCUUGAACAACACAGGGUUGAACUGCAUGGAUCUACUAAUAUGCAGAUUUUUUUCUCAGUCACUAUAUUGUAAAAUUCUUUGGAGAUUUGGAACAAUCUGGAAAAAACUGGCAGGUGAACCGUGUAGAAAAUUGUUUUCAAAGUUAGGCAUGUCACAUACAUGUACAUGCGAGUCAGUUUUAUUCUUUACCAGCAUAGAACAUGCAUAUAAAGCGUGACAGUUCAUAGCGUCCCAUGCUGACCUGUGGUGCCCACUGUGCCCGUGUGUGAGCCGUUUGUCUGUCGUGUCAAUUGUCUGUCGCGUCAAUUGUCUAUCGCAGUAAAAAGUAUCUCUGUGGUUCUCCCAUGUUUUUCAUCGUGUUCAGUGCAAAACCAUAGCCUCAGAUAACACCAUGGGACCCCCAGGAAGUGCCCCUGGUGACGCUGGAGUGAGCCCGAGGGAAACGUCACAACGGAAACUGCGUGGUGUGUGCUGAUGGAUGGAGGGCGGCGGUGGCAGCGGUUGGAUGGUUCAAGGCAAAGUUCAAGGUAAAGGGAUCCCAUGGGAAAGAAAGGAAAAGGAAGGACGUGAGGGUCGCAGCUGGCGAGCAGGCACGGGGACCUCGCACUUUAGCCGGACACCUUCUGCGUCUUGCGUCAGAAGCGCCGUGUUGAUGUGGGUGCAGGAUCUAUUGCAAUAAAAAGACGCACGCCUGUCGACUCAAGGAUGAUUCCAGAAGAAAGAGAAGGCGUGAGAGGAUCACGGGAAGCUGAGGGGAGGGGAGGAUCUGAAGCUGGGAGAGGUGAUGUCAGCGGAGGACGAUGGAUCGUUUGGAAAGAGUUUGCUUAAGAAAAAAUGAAAUGUCAGAGCGACGGUGGCAGCGUCGAAGGGCUAAGUGGCAGCGGGCAAGUUUGGGGAACCAGGAAGAAAGUGACGGAGGGGAAGGGACAGCUGCUGGAACAGGCGUCGGUGCAGGGGGUGCGCCCCACGCGGAAGGAGGGAGGAGGAAGGAAGAGAAGGGAGCACCAGGAUUUAAGGCACGAAGGCGUGGCUGCCUCCGCUGUGUUGUGCGAAGUUGGGCUGAUGAGCGGGGCUGCCCCGGUCACGGAGCUGAAGGGAAGACAGACAGACACCAGCUUGGGCUGGACGACAAGAGACCUGGACGAGGAUCCCCGUUGUCUGGAUUGAUUCCAUCGGUGAGUUGUCUCUGGAGGAAGAGAGGACCUGGCCGGAGGGACUGCCCUGGGAAGUGCUUUGGAGGUGGACACGGCCCCUGGCCACCGUCCCCGUGGGAACCAUCAGCGUGUCCGGGUCAGCCCACCGACGGUGAGGACGUGGAAGGAGCGUUGGGCGCAGGACUCGAGGGGAAAGAUCGCCGAGCGAAGGAAGGGACCCCGCCAGGGAGAGGUGACCCUUGGAGGCUGGGAGGGUGAGGCCGUCAGAGUCGCCGUGGUCGCAAGAGAAAGGGCCCCAAAGCCAUCGGGGCGCAGCGUGUGCACUCCUGCGGGAGAAGGGCCGGUGCCGUGCACAUCACUUCUCAGGACUUCAGGAGCCAA